CACGUAGGGGGGCAAGCGUUGUCCGGAUUUAUUGGGCGUAAAGAGCUCGUAGGUGGCUGAGUAAGUCGGAUGUUAAAUCCCCCAGGCUCAACCUGGGACACCACCCCGAUACUGCUCUGGCUAGAGUCCGGUAGGGGAGCGUGGGAAUUCCUGGUGUAGCGGUGAAAUGCGCAGAUAUCAGGAGGAACACCAGCGGCGAAGGCGGCGCUCUGGGCCGGUACUGACACUGAGGAGCGAAAGCGUGGGUAGCAAACAGG
rnacentral:rRNA from 1 species